GGCCUCCCAAUUCUUACCACAGGCUGUGUUCUUUACACUGACUGUAUAGAAAGAGGAGGUACAGGAAAUGCACCCCAUAUAUACUUCAACCCAGGCCCUGGUCUGUUUUGUGAAUUGGGGGACAAAA